ACUCCUACGGGAGGCAGCAGUGGGGAAUAUUGCACAAUGGGCGCAAGCCUGAUGCAGCCAUGCCGCGUGUGUGAAGAAGGCCUUCGGGUUGUAAAGCACUUUCAGUCGUGAGGAAGGUGUGUGUUAAUUAAGCAUGCUAUCAUUUGACGUUAGCGACAGAAGAAGCACCGGCUAACUCCGUGCCAGCAGCCGCGGUAAUACGGAGGGUGCGAGCGUUAAUCGGAAUUACUGGGCGUAAAGCGCAUGCAGGUGGUUUGUUAAGUCAGAUGUGAAAGCCCGGGGCUCAACCUCGGAA
rnacentral:rRNA from 1 species